UACAGAGGUCUCAAGCGUUAGGCGGAAUCACUGGGCUUAAAGCGUGUGUAGGCGGAUCGUUAAGUGCUUUGUGAAAUCCCACGGCUCAACCGUGGAACUGCUUGGCAUACUGGCGAUCUUGAGCCAUCUAGGGGUCGCUGGAACAAACGGUGGAGCGGUGAAAUGCGUAGAUAUCGUUUGGAACGCCUAUGGUGAAAACAGGCGACUGGGGAUGUGCUGACGCUGAGACACGAAAGCCAGGGGAGCAAACGGG
rnacentral:rRNA from 1 species